CCUACGGGUGGCUGCAGUGGGGAAUAUUGGACAAUGGGCGAAAGCCUGAUCCAGCCAUGCCGCGUGUGUGAAGAAGGCCUUCGGGUUGUAAAGCACUUUCAGUGGGGAAGAAAGCCUUGGGGCUAAUACCCUCGAGGAAGGACAUCACCCACAGAAGAAGCACCGGCUAACUCCGUGCCAGCAGCCGCGGUAAUACGGAGGGGUGCGAGCGUUAAUCGGAAUUACUGGGCGUAAAGCGCGCGUAGGCGGUCUGAUAAGCCGGUUGUGAAAGCCCCGGGCUCAACCUGGGAACGGCAUCCGGAACUGUCAGGCUAGAGUGCAGGAGAGGAAGGUAGAAUUCCCGGUGUAGCGGUGAAAUGCGUAGAGAUCGGGAGGAAUACCAGUGGCGAAGGCGGCCUUCUGGACUGACACUGACGCUGAGGUGCGAAAGCGUGGGUAGCAAACAGGAUUAGAUACCCGAGUAGUC
rnacentral:rRNA from 1 species